rnacentral:lncRNA from 1 species
AUCACCCCUGCUGUCGCUCUUUUAUAUAUAUUAUGAUUAUUUUUUUUCUUUUUUAAUAUUUAAAAGAUAAUUAAAAUUUAUAUUAAUUUUUUAAGAAAAGAUUACACCAACGGUUGAGUUUUCUUAUUUAUUUGAUUCUUCUAAUUCAAAUUAUAUUAAUUUCUCUCAAAAAAACUACAUUAAUAGUAAUUUUUUUUAUUUGUUUAAUUAUUCUAAUGAUUAUUUUAGUAUCAUAACCAUCAAUAGAAAAAAAAAUUAAGAAUUAAAUUUUUUUUGCAUUAAAUCUUUCAAUGUAA